CCGUAGAAAUUGAUCGAAACUGAAUUAUUCCCAGUUUGUCGACACUGGAAUAUUCCCACUUAACCGACAUCCCAAAUAACCGACGUCGCAAAUGAUCGACACCACAAAUUGUCGACAUCCCAUAUUGUCGACAAUGAAAUAGUUUCACUAUGUCGACACUGAAAUAGUCCCAGUAUAUCGACAAGCUCCCGUUCUUCGGAGCUACUCUUGAAAAGGAGUUGUUCUAAUUCAUCGUUCAGUUCCUCAACUCACGAGUCGUAAUAUUUAAUUCCGAAUUCCGACGCCCCGACGGACAAUGAAUAAUGAAUGAUAAGCUGGCCAUUUUGACUAAGCAUUAAGUUAUUAUUAACCUAACUUUUAUAUUGUAAAUAUUUAUCUUUUUUAUUUCUUUCCUUGCUUACAGGAAAAUUGGUGACUCGUGUGUUACAAACAAUAGUUUUUAAGGGAAAAAAUGUGAAAUAAUUUGUAUAGGUAGGUUAUGUAGGCUAAUCAACAUGAUAACAGACACUUUAGAUGAUCCUCGAGCAAAGGCUGUAAUUUGACCUGAACCCAAAUUGGUCUCUAUUUUAAAUAUUGUCUUGAACCAAUAAGUUAAGAGGACUAACCUUUCUGGAAGAGAUUGCCAUCGACAUCACAGCAGAUGAGAGAGAAAGAGAGACCAGAGUUGUGGACCCUGGAGGCAAUUACCAUACUGCCGUGAUAAUGUUCCGUGGUCUAACCAUAACUUAAGUGAGAACUGAAGCCUACCAGUAAAAUGGGGGCGUUGUAAUUAAUAUCCUCCGACAUUGGAGAAUACAGGGGAGAGGUGUCAGAGGAAGAGAAGAUGGAGGUUGGGGCGAAGUAAAGACUAAGAUUGAAGAGAACUAACUAAUGGCCUGAUGACAGGGUGGAUGGCGAUGGAGGCAUGGAGGUUGGGGGAGAGGAGGCUGAAGAAGUGGAGACAAAUCAGUUUAGAUCCAUUAUGUUGAUUAGUUUAACAUUUAUUUUGAACAUCAGUAUUUAAAUUUUUUUCUCAUUUAGAUUAUUAAAUUAAGAUAAUUUUAUUGUUUUUAUGAAGAUGUUUUCUUACAUUUUUAAUAUUUGUUUGUACUUCUGCCUGGUAAAAAAAUACUGUUUUCCUACAGUUACCUAACAAUGUACAUGUUCUCUCACUGAUUUGAGAAAGCAAAGUGGCCAAUUCGCUCAUCAGUGAGACAAUGUUAACAUUGUCUCACUCUAAUUACUUUGUCUCACUCCAGAUUUGCAACGUGAAGGCACAAAAUAGUGAGCGCGUAACAUGCAGACAAGGUCGUAUGUGCGCGAAAUACGUUGGCAGCACUGGCUGUAAAUCAGCUGGUCAGCUGUUUUACUGUUGUAUCAUUAAAUGUCAUAAGUUCACUUCUGUGUAAAAAUAUGUUACGUUUCUUUACCAAUUUAUUUGUUUUAUGGUAACUGUAGGAAAAAUAUAAUGUGCAGCUCGAGUGCAAAGUGCAAUUGCCUCACUCGAGAAAACAUUCCUCACUCGCCUACGGCUCGUGAGUAAGUAUUUCUCUCGAGUGAGUCAAUUUAUCACUUUGCUCACUAGUUGCACAAAUAACUAUUAUUAUCUUUGUUAAAAUGAUUACUUUCACUAACUGACCUUGUCUUGGGUAAAAAGAGAUAUCUUGAUAUUUAACUAGCAGGGUGCCUGUUCUAUGGGCGGGGAUUGUAUAAGUCAGUAGAAACCUUCUUAUAUUUCGAUACUUGGUAAAUUAAUCAUUUCCAACUUUAUAUAGUAUAGAUCGCUAUUCCUGUAUUGAUGUACUGAAAUGAAUAAAAUUAUAUGAAAUGAAA